rnacentral:rRNA from 1 species
GAUGAACGCUGGCGGCGUGCCUAAUACAUGCAAGUCGAGCGAACGGACGAGAAGCUUGCUUCUCUGAUGUUAGCGGCGGACGGGUGAGUAACACGUGGAUAACCUACCUAUAAGACUGGGAUAACUUCGGGAAACCGGAGCUAAUACCGGAUAAUAUUUUGAACCGCAUGGUUCAAAAGUGAAAGACGGUCUUGCUGUCACUUAUAGAUUGAUCCGCGCUGCAUUAGCUAGUUGGUAAGGUAACGGCUUACCAAGGCAACGAUGCAUAGCCGACCUGAGAGGGUGAUCGGCCACACUGGAACUGAGACACGGUCCAGACUCCUACGGGAGGCAGCAGUAGGGAAUCUUCCGCAAUGGGCGAAAGCCUGACGGAGCAACGCCGCGUGAGUGAUGAAGGUCUUCGGAUCGUAAAACUCUGUUAUUAGGGAAGAACAUAUGUGUAAGUAACUGUGCACAUCUUGACGGUACCUAAUCAGAAAGCCACGGCUAGCUACGUG